rnacentral:rRNA from 1 species
GACGAACGCUGGCGGCGUGCUUAACACAUGCAAGUCGAGCGGAGCGGCGGACGGAUGAGUAACGCGUGAGUAACUGCCCCCCUCUCUGGGAUAACAGUUGGAAACGGCUGCUAAUACCGGAUAGUGGGGGAUGACUCGGUGCCUAUCAGCUUGUUGGUGGGGUAGUGGCCUACCAAGGCGACGACGGGUAGCCGGCCUGAGAGGGCGACCGUCCACAUUUGGCUGAUAUACUGCCCAAACUCCGACGGUAGGCAGCAGUGGGGAAUAUUGCACAAUGGGGGAAACCCUGAUGCAGCAACGCGCGUGCGGGAUGUCGGCCUUCGGGUUGUAAACCGCUUUCAGCCAUGACGCGGUAGUGGCAGAAGAAGCACCGGCUAACUACGUGCCAGCAGCCGCGGUAAUUC